ensembl:miRNA
UGCAGGAACUUGUGAGUCUCCUAUUGAAAAUGAACAGGAGACUGAUGAGUUCCCGGGAA